AAUUCUAGGGGCGCUCUAUUCAUUUGAAUAAAGCUGAGAAGAUAAAACCCUUGGACCUGAUCUGGAUAAUGCCAGCGUAGGAAAGAAUUACUC
rnacentral:ncRNA from 1 species